UUGGUGUUGCUUGACAUUAGGGGUAUGUUGUAGUCCAUGGGUAAAGACAUUGUUGAUUUCGCUCUUCCAAGCAUCGAUGAUGCGUUUGACCCAACCGAUGGUGAGUGUAGAGAGGUCAUCAAGGAAUCAACCAUUGAGUUUGACAUGGAUGACAUUAAAUUGGCAUCUUCCGUUAACUUGGAGUAGAGGGCCGCUUACAAUGACAUACUGGCGGUUGUUGAAUGCGGUGAUGGGGGUGCAUUCUUUGUUGAUGGCCCUGGAGGUAUAGGGAAGACCUUCCUAUACUGGGCGAUGCUUGCCAAGGUGAGGAGCGAGGGCAAGAUUGGUAUCGCUACCGCGACGUCGGGCGUCGCUUCUAUAAUGCCUGGCGGCAGGACUGCCCACUCGAGGUUCAAGAUACCAUUG
rnacentral:rRNA from 1 species